rnacentral:lncRNA from 1 species
ACACAUUCUCCCCUGGAGACUCCAGAGGGAACUCAGCUUUACCAAACCCUGAUCUUAUUUUCAGAGAUGUCAUUUCAGACUUCUGACCUCUAGAACUAUAAAAGAGUAAAUUUGUGUUGUUUUCAGCCACUAAGUUUAUGGCAAUUUGUUACAGUAGCAAGAGGAAACUAAUACACUUGCUGAAGUGACUGUUAUUUUGUGAUUUCUGACACUUGCAACAGAAUCCAGAAUCUGGAAUUGGGAAAUGUACGUGACAGAACCUAAGUUGCAGCACUGACUUAACAAAUGGAUGGCAAGGACUCAGAUUACAGACUUGAACCUGGAGAUUCCCCUGUAGUGGAGGAAGGACUUUCCCUCUACCUUCCUGGGUUCAAUAGCUGGGUCCAUGAAAUAAACUGACGACGGGCAGAUUAACAGCAGAAAAGGUAUGCAAAUGUAUUCGUUUUUAGUAUUAUGUGACAGGGUGCGGGGUAGGGGGGAGGGCGGGACAUCAGAAGAAAAGAAGUGAAUACUCCAUAAA